rnacentral:rRNA from 1 species
UGUCCAGACUCCUACGGGAGGCAGCAGUGGGGAAUAUUGCACAAUGGGGGGAACCCUGAUGCAGCGACGCCGCGUGGGCGAGGAAGUAUUUCGGUAUGUAAAGCCCUAUCGGCAGGGAAGAAGAAAUGACGGUACCUGAAUAAGAAGCACCGGCUAAAUACGUGCCAGCAGCCGCGGUAAUACGUAUGGUGCAAGCGUUAUCCGGAUUUACUGGGCGUAAAGGGGGCGCAGACGGCAGCGCAAGCCAGGAGUGAAAGCCCACGGCCCAACCGUGGGACUGCUCUGGAAACUGUGCGGCUUGAGUGCGGGAGGGGCAGGCGGAAUUCCUAGUGUAGCGGUGAAAUGCGUAGAUAUUAGGAGGAACACCGGCGGCGAAGGCGGCCUGCUGGACCGUAACUGACGUUGAGGCUCGAAAGCGUGGGGAGCAAACAGGAUUAGAUACCCUGGUA